rnacentral:rRNA from 1 species
AACGUAGGACGCAAGCGUUAUCCGGAGUUACUGGGCGUAAAGCGCGGGCAGGCGGUUCUGCCAGUCUGAUGUGAAAUCUCCCCGCUCAACGGGGAGCAGCCAUUGGAAACUACAGAACUGGAGUCUGACAGAGGUAGGCGGAAUUCCGGGUGGAGUGGUGAAAUGCGUAGAGAUCCGGAGGAACACCAGAGGCGAAGGCGGCCUACUGGGUCAGUACUGACGCUGAGGCGCGAAAGCGUGGGGAGCAAACAGG